UACGAAGGGUGCAAACGUUGCUCGGAAUUAUUGGGCGUAAAGCGCACGUAGGCGGCUCUAUAAGUUGGAUGUGAAAUCCCUCGGCUUAACCAAGGAAGUGCAUUCGAAACUGUAGAGCUUGAGUACUUAAGAGGAUCGCGGAAUUCCCGGUGUAGAGGUGAAAUUCGUAGAUAUGGGGAGGAACACCGGUGGCGAAGGCGGCCACCUGGACGGUCACUGACGCUGAGACGCGAAAGCGUGGGUAGCAAACAGG
rnacentral:rRNA from 1 species